AGAGUUUGAUCCUGGCUCAGGAUGAACGCUGGCGGCGUGCUUAACACAUGCAAGUCGAACGAACCUUCGGGUUAGUGGCGGACGGGUGAGUAACGCGUGGGAACCUGCCCUCAGGAGGGGGAUAACGGCUGGAAACGGCCGCUAAUACCCCAUAUGCCGAGAGGUGAAACGAAAUUCGCCUGAGGAUGGGCCCGCGUCUGAUUAGCUAGUUGGUGGGGUAAGAGCCUACCAAGGCGACGAUCAGUAGCUGGUCUGAGAGGAUGAUCAGCCACACUGGGACUGAGACACGGCCCAGACUCCUACGGGAGGCAGCAGUGGGGAAUUUUCCGCAAUGGGCGAAAGCCUGACGGAGCAACGCCGCGUGAGGGAUGAAGGCCUCUGGGCUGUAAACCUCUUUUCUCAAGGAAGAAGAACUGACGGUACUUGAGGAAUAAGCCACGGCUAAUUCCGUGCCAGCAGCCGCGGUAAUACGGGAGUGGCAAGCGUUAUCCGGAAUUAUUGGGCGUAAAGCGUCCGCAGGCGGCCUUGUAAGUCUGUCGUUAAAGCGUGGAGCUUAACUCCAUUUCAGCGAUGGAAACUACAAGGCUUGAGUGUGGUAGGGGCAGAGGGAAUUCCCGGUGUAGCGGUGAAAUGCGUAGAUAUCGGGAAGAACACCAGUGGCGAAGGCGCUCUGCUGGGCCAUCACUGACGCUCAUGGACGAAAGCCAGGGGAGCGAAAGGGAUUAGAUACCCCUGUAGUCCUGGCCGUAAACGAUGAACACUAGGUGUCGGGGGAAUCGACCCCCUCGGUGUCGUAGCCAACGCGUUAAGUGUUCCGCCUGGGGAGUACGCACGCAAGUGUGAAACUCAAAGGAAUUGACGGGGGCCCGCACAAGCGGUGGAGUAUGUGGUUUAAUUCGAUGCAACGCGAAGAACCUUACCAGGGCUUGACAUCCCGCGAACCUCUGAGAAAUCGGAGGGUGCCUUCGGGAACGCGGAGACAGGUGGUGCAUGGCUGUCGUCAGCUCGUGUCGUGAGAUGUUGGGUUAAGUCCCGCAACGAGCGCAACCCACGUUUUUAGUUGCCAGCAUUCAGUUGGGCACUCUAGAAAGACCGCCGGUGAUAAACCGGAGGAAGGUGUGGAUGACGUCAAGUCAUCAUGCCCCUUACGUCCUGGGCUACACACGUACUACAAUGCUACGGACAAAGGGCAGCAAACUCGCGAGAGCUAGCAAAUCCCAUAAACCGUGGCUCAGUUCAGAUCGUAGGCUGCAACUCGCCUACGUGAAGGAGGAAUCGCUAGUAAUCGCAGGUCAGCAUACUGCGGUGAAUACGUUCCCGGGCCUUGUACACACCGCCCGUCACACCAUGGAAGUUGGCCACGCCCGAAGUCGUUACUCCAACCCUUGUGGAGGAGGAUGCCGAAGGUGGGGCUGAUGACUGGGGUGAAGUCGUAACAAGGUAACC
rnacentral:rRNA from 1 species